rnacentral:rRNA from 1 species
GUGGUAAUGCCGGAUGCUCCGGUUGGAUGCAUGUCCUUCCGGGAAAGAUCCGUCGGUAUGGGAUGGGGUCGCGUCCUAUCAGCUUGAUGGCGGGGUAACGGCCCACCAUGGCUUCGACGGGUAGCCGGCCUGAGAGGGCGACCGGCCACAUUGGGACUGAGAUACGGCCCAGACUCCUACGGGAGGCAGCAGUGGGGAAUAUUGCACAAUGGGCGCAAGCCUGAUGCAGCGACGCCGCGUGCGGGAUGGAGGCCUUCGGGUUGUAAACCGCUUUUGAUCGGGAGCAAGCCCUUCGGGGUGAGUGUACCUUUCGAAUAAGCACCGGCUAACUACGUGCCAGCAGCCGCGGUAAUACGUAGGGUGCAAGCGUUAUCCGGAAUUAUUGGGCGUAAAGGGCUCGUAGGCGGUUCGUCGCGUCCGGUGUGAAAGCCCAUCGCUUAACGGUGGGUCUGCGCCGGGUACGGGCGGGCUGGAGUGCGGUAGGGGAGACUGGAAUUCCCGGUGUAACGGUGGAAUGUGUAGAUAUCGGAAAAGAACACCA